ACAACGGCCACGCCAACAGCGAUCAGUCCCACCAAAAGAGACGUCACAUCAACCCGUGUGCUCUGUUGGUCCUUCUCUGAGGAGCAUCACAGGCCGGACAGUGUGAGUUGUACCCAGUAAUAAAAGGUUUCCAGGAACGAAAAUCUCGAAGUCAAACCGGUUGAACAGCAGAUGGCGACCCAGGAACGAAUUGGCGUCGCCAUCAUCUACAAACACUGGGACGCGUGUCCGAGCAGGCGGAUUAAUCAGCAGCAUUGACAGAUCGGAGCGGUUCGAGUUGCUUCACGUGUCCUACACGUUGCUCACCUUCUCGGUCUUCUUGUGGCGGCAGCACCCUCUCCACACAGGCCGAAUCCCCGAGGGACAGGAGCGGAAGGAGCAGGAGCGGAUGGAACAACAUGGCUCGGAGUGCACCUGCGCGCGGACAGGUGGGGGCAUUAAUGGGCGCAGUACCAAACAAGGCGUCCGGCUCUUACAAACUACUGUUAUGUGGCUUUCCCCCCCCCACACACAUAGGCUUACCUGUGUUCAAGUAGACCUAGGACGUGUCACAUAAUGACCGACAGAGUUCCGCGCGAAACCAAAACGAAAGCUCGAGGAGCGCUGGGGUCGGCGUGAGAUAAGAGAAACCAGGAAGCGCUUCCGGCCGACUUUUAAAGAUAACAGCAAACGCGGCUGUUUACCGUUUGAACAUUAACAAUUGUGCCCGAAAACCAGCGAGCACGGUCGCGGUAGAUUACAAAUGGGGUGUGUUUACUCCAAAACAGAUGUGGCCUCGAGCGCCUCCUGAACUACCUGCGCAGACUCGACCAAUCGAUCACCUCCACCUGGAUGAUGGAGUUAACAUGAAUAAAUACAGAUGGACGCUAGAUGGCAGCUGAAACCACGAAAUUAGAAGCAGCUGAGGAACAGUGCAAUAGAAGCAGCUCUAAUGGUGGCUGUGAUGAGGCUGUGCUCCUGAGAAUGUGUUCUGUGAUUUACACCCGUUGAUAAGCGUCAGAGGAGCUUGCUCCCUGUGGACAACUAGAGGGAAGUGAGCACUGAGCCUCUGCAGACUUCUGAUAGGGAAAAGGACACACUGCAGCCAUAAACGUGUACCUCUAAUGCCCAUUUCAUCGGAGUCAACAUAUUUUAGUGGCAGGGGUGAAAUGAUCGGAUUACGACUUUAAUCGGGACAGAAUGAGGAGUGGCAGACCACUCAAAAGAAACAAAGUAAACACGCUGAGCUGUGGUUUUAUUACUCAAAGGGAAAAUGCAGUGUCUAUUUGGGGUGGGGAUUUAAAGUGCAAUGCCAGUAGUCUGCACUUUGUCAAUUUUUGGUGAUUUCAUCACAGUCCCAGAGGAGGAGAACUCCAGCAGACCCCUUUUACACCUAAUGCCUGGGCCAUAUAUCAAAGUUCACUUCCUAAUGCUCUGGACCGCUGCUGAGAACAGAUCACCGUGCACAAUAAAUGGUACUUAACUUUACAUCAAUGAACAAACAAAAGCUUAACCCAAAACUGAUGAAGUCCUCGUCCUUCCACUUUCCGUAGACAUCAGAGGACACAGACUUGAUUCUAGUGGGACAGUAACUUUGAACCCGGGGGGCAAUUUCAAAUUUGUAGUGGCAGGGAAUGAUUCUACACAAGUUCACAUUACUGCGGUAACCUCUCGUGUUCUCAGAUAAGUGACCCUCAUGUUGCAGGCUAUUUCUCACCCAAAGUUAUGGCUCAUUUAAUAAUGACAUAGCAUCCUUUAACUACAACCAGAUGUUGAGAAUUGCUAGAGGACAAGCCCCCAUUAAAGUCACUGUAUGGCUUUCUAAAAAGAUUAUAAGUCAAGUGGGGCACAAGUG